rnacentral:rRNA from 1 species
UACGUAGGGUGCAAGCGUUAAUCGGAAUUACUGGGCGUAAAGCGCACGUAGGCGGCUUUGUAAGUUAGAGGUGAAAGCCCAGGGCUUAACCCUGGAAUUGCCUUUAAGACUGCAUCGCUAGAAUCGUGGAGAGGUGAGUGGAAUUCCGAGUGUAGAGGUGAAAUUCGUAGAUAUUCGGAAGAACACCAGUGGCGAAGGCGACUCACUGGACACGUAUUGACGCUGAGGUGCGAAAGCGUGGGGAGCAAACAGG